GUGAACUCGAAGAGUAGGGCGGGACACGUGGUAUCCUGUCUGAAUAUGGGGGGACCAUCCUCCAAGGCUAAAUACUCCUGACUGACCGAUAGUGAACCAGUACCGUGAGGGAAAGGCGAAAAGAACCCCGGCGAGGGGAGUGAAAAAGAACCUGAAACCGUGUACGUACAAGCAGUAGGAGCCUCUUUAUGGGGUGACUGCGUACCUUUUGUAUAAUGGGUCAGCGACUUAUAUUCUGUAGCAAGGUUAACCGUAUAGGGGAGCCGCAGGGAAACCGAGUCUUAACUGGGCGUUAAGUUGCAGGGUAUAGACCCGAAACCCGGUGAUCUAGCCAUGGGCAGGUUGAAGGUUGGGUAACACUAACUGGAGGACCGAACCGACUAAUGUUGAAAAAUUAGCGGAUGACUUGUGGCUGGGGGUGAAAGGCCAAUCAAACCGGGAGAUAGCUGGUUCUCCCCGAAAGCUAUUUAGGUAGCGCCUCGUGAACUCAUCUUCGGGGGUAGAGCACUGUUUCGGCUAGGGGGUCAUCCCGACUUACCAACCCGAUGCAAACUACGAAUACCGAAGAAUGUUAUCACGGGAGACACACGGCGGGUGCUAACGUCCGUCGUGAAGAGGGAAACAACCCAGACCGCCAGCUAAGGUCCCAAAGUCAUGGUUAAGUGGGAAACGAUGUGGGAAGGCCCAGACAGCCAGGAUGUUGGCUUAGAAGCAGCCAUCAUUUAAAGAAAGCGUAAUAGCUCACUGGUCGAGUCGGCCUGCGCGGAAGAUGUAACGGGGCUAAACCAUGCACCGAAGCUGCGGCAGCGACACUAUGUGUUGUUGGGUAGGGGAGCGUUCUGUAAGCCGUUGAAGGUGGCCUGUGAGGGUUGCUGGAGGUAUCAGAAGUGCGAAUGCUGACAUAAGUAACGAUAAUGCGGGUGAAAAACCCGCACGCCGGAAGACCAAGGGUUCCUGUCCAACGUUAAUCGGGGCAGGGUGAGUCGACCCCUAAGGCGAGGCCGAAAGGCGUAGUCGAUGGGAAACAGGUUAAUAUUCCUGUACUCGGUGUUACUGCGAAGGGGGGACGGAGAAGGCUAUGUUGGCCGGGCGACGGUUGUCCCGGUUUAAGCAUGUAGGCGGAUGUUCCAGGUAAAUCCGGAACGUUAUCAACGCUGAGGUGUGAUGACGAGGCACUACGGUGCUGAAGUGACAAAUGCCCUGCUUCCAGGAAAAGCCUCUAAGCAUCAGGUAACAUCAAAUCGUACCCCAAACCGACACAGGUGGUCAGGUAGAGAAUACCAAGGCGCUUGAGAGAACUCGGGUGAAGGAACUAGGCAAAAUGGUGCCGUAACUUCGGGAGAAGGCACGCUGAUAUGUAGGUGAAGUGGUUUACCCAUGGAGCUGAAAUCAGUCGAAGAUACCAGCUGGCUGCAACUGUUUAUUAAAAACACAGCACUGUGCAAACACGAAAGUGGACGUAUACGGUGUGACGCCUGCCCGGUGCCGGAAGGUUAAUUGAUGGGGUUAUCCGUAAGGAGAAGCUCUUGAUCGAAGCCCCGGUAAACGGCGGCCGUAACUAUAACGGUCCUAAGGUAGCGAAAUUCCUUGUCGGGUAAGUUCCGACCUGCACGAAUGGCGUA
rnacentral:rRNA from 1 species